UUGAAACAUGGAUUCCCAUAUGAUCACCGAAGAUAAGCAACAUUGAGCUUCGUUAGUACUUAGAUGGGUGACCACUUGGGAAUACCAGGUGCA